UUAGCUCAGUUGGUAGAGCAGUUGACUUUUAAUCAAUUGGUCGCAGGUUCGAAUCCUGGA
rnacentral:tRNA from 1 species